CUCUGUUCCACAUGUCUUCAGUCAGUUCUGGACCCCAUGACUCUGUUCCACAUGUCUUCAGUCCGUUCUGGACCCUAUGACUCUGUUCCACAUGUCUUCAGUCAGUUCUGGACCCCAUGACUCUGUUCCACAUGUCUUCAGUCAGUUCUGGACCCCAUGACUCGGACACUAGUUCUACCAAGGCUUAUUAGAAAGUGCUUCAGAGGAUGGCUGAAUUCACAAAACGUGGAGAAGACCGAGAAGGAGAAGUUGGCCGGUUACUACAUUUCACAAAAAAUACAGGACCUUGU